UGCUGAUGAACCAAUGACAACGUUUGUU
rnacentral:piRNA from 1 species